UCCAAAGGCAAGGAAGUGGUAAGAGAAAAAGAAUAGGAUUACUUUGUUAUCCUAUAACUUCUGGUUAGUGCAGUUGUAGAUAGCCUUAGCUGUGCAUUGCUCUUUUUGCAUAAGUCAAUAUUAUCAGGUGGGCCAGAGGAGUUAUCUAAAGCAUUGGGGCAUUUUGGGAACUUGUGUGAAUUAAACUACUGUAUAAAUAUUUCUUAUAUA